rnacentral:rRNA from 1 species
GACGGACGCUGGCGGCGUGCUUAACACAUGCAAGUCGAACGGAAAGGCCCCAGCUUGCUGGGGUACUCGAGUGGCGAACGGGUGAGUAACACGUGGGUGAUCUGCCCUGCACUCUGGGAUAAGCCUGGGAAACUGGGUCUAAUACCGGAUAGGACCGUGCUUUAGUGUGUGCGGUGGAAAGUUUUUCGGUGCAGGAUGAGCCCGCGGCCUAUCAGCUUGUUGGUGGGGUAAUGGCCUACCAAGGCGGCGACGGGUAGCCGGCCUGAGAGGGUGUACGGCCACAUUGGGACUGAGACACGGCCCAGACUCCUACGGGAGGCAGCAGUGGGGAAUAUUGCACAAUGGGCGCAAGCCUGAUGCAGCGACGCCGCGUGGGGGAUGACGGCCUUCGGGUUGUAAACCCCUUUCGGCGGGGACGAAGCUUUUGUGACGGUACCUGCAUAAGAAGCACCGGCUAACUACGUG